AUUGAACGCUGGCGGCAUGCCUAACACAUGCAAGUCGUACGAGUGGCGGACGUGUGAGUAAUGUCUGGGAAACUGCCUGAUGGAGGGGGAUAACUACUGGAAACGGUAGCUAAUACCGCCUACCAUCGGAUGUGCCCAUAUGGGAUUAGCUAGUAGGUGGGGAAAAGGCUCACCUAGGCGAAGAGCCCUAGCUGGUCUGAGCGGAGUGCCAGCCACACGGGAACUGAGCAACGGUCCAGACUCCGACGGGAGGCAUCAGUGGGGAAUAUUGCACAAUGGGCGCAAGCCUGAUGCAGCCAUGCCGCGUGUAUGAAGAAGGCCUUCGGGUUGUAAAGUACUUUCAGCGGUGAGGCGUUACCCGCAGAAGAAGCACAGGCUAACUCCGUGCCAGCAGCCGCGGUAAUUC
rnacentral:rRNA from 1 species